rnacentral:rRNA from 1 species
AGUGAACGUUGGCGGCGUGGAUUAGGCAUGCAAGUCGAGCGAGAACCGUAGCAAUACGGGGACAGCGGCGAAAGGGACAGUAAUGCGUAGGUACCUACCACGGGGUCUGGGAUAGCUGCGGGAAACUGCAGGUAAUACCGGAUAAUGUUUUCGGGCCAAAGGGGUGAUUCCACCUUGGGAGGGGCCUGCAUCCUAUUAGCUUGUUGGCGGGGUAACGGCCCACCAAGGCAACGAUGGGUAGCGGGUGUGAGAGCACGACCAGCGUCAUUGGGACUGAGAUACUGCCCAGACACCUACGGGUGGCUGCAGUCGAGGAUCUUCGGCAAUGGGCGAAGGCCUGACCGAGCGACGCCGCGUGCGGGAUGAAGGCCUUCGGGUUGUAAACCGCUGUCGUAGAGGAGGAAAUGCAGGGGGGUUCUCCCUUCUGUUUGACCUAUUCUAGGAGGAAGGACGGGCUAAGUUCGUGCCAGCAGCCGCGGUAA